CCUACGGGAGGCAGCAGUGGGGGAUAUUGGACAAUGGGGGAAACCCUGAUCCAGCGACGCCGCGUGAGUGAAGAAGGAUUUCGGGAUGUAAAGCUCUAUCAGCAGGGAAGAAAGAAAUGACGGUAACGGAGUAAGAAGCCACGGCUAACUACGUGCAAGCAGCCGCGGUAAUACGUAGGGGGCAAUCGGUAUCCGGAAUUACUGGGUGUAAAGGGAGCGUAGACGGUAAUGCAAGUCUGUAGUGAAAGGCGGGGGCCCAACCCCCGGACUGCUCUGGAAACUGUGUAACUGGAGUGCAGGAGAGGCAGGCGGAAUUCCUAGUGUAGCGGUGAAAUGCGUAGAUAUUAGGACGAACACCAGUGGCGAAGGCAGCCUACUGGACUGUAACUGACGUUGAGGCUCGAAAGCGUGGGGAGCAAACAGGAUUAGAUACCCGAGUAGUC
rnacentral:rRNA from 1 species